rnacentral:rRNA from 1 species
UACAGAGGGGGCAAGCGUUGUUCGGAAUUACUGGGCGUAAAAGGCGCGUAGGCGGCCUUCUAAGUCGAACGUGAAAUCCCUGGGCUCAACCCAGGAACUGCGUCCGAUACUGGAAGGCUUGAAUCCGGGAGAGGGAUGCGGAAUUCCAGGUGUAGCGGUGAAAUGCGUAGAUAUCUGGAGGAACACCGGUGGCGAAGGCGGCAUCCUGGACCGAUAUUGACGCUGAUGCGCGAAAGCCAGGGGAGCAAACGGGG